AGGGUGGUUUGUAUUUAUUAUUAACCGUGGUCCAUUUAUAGUUCAGUGUCGGUAACAAUAGACGCCACGCAUGUUUAAUUUGUUAAACUGCUUACUCUGGUCAUUUUUUAAAACAUUGUUAUUUUUAACUGAAUCCUCCGCAUUAAGCUAGAAAAGGAAAAAAACAACAUUAAUAACGUUUAAAACUGCAGUGUGUUCUUUAUUAGUUAUUAAAUAUGUACUAUUUUACGUCUCUACUAGCCUAACGAAACUAGCGUAGACCACGUGGCCUACAUGGCCUCUUCUCCGCUGUAUCUUGUGUAAGACGUAUGUUUCUAUUUAGACGCUUUGCGUUUGCACUGAUUUAAGUCUGUAUUGUACUAAUGCAGUGUCGAUUUACCCUGUAUACUCAGCGUGGUCUAACCCUAUUAAAAUGACGGUACUCGUGCUGCAUUAAGCUCUCUUCUACCCCGUUGAAAUGGUUUUGCUCGUUAUUGUGUUUUUUGUAGAAGUCGAUGGAUUUGUAUAUAGGCUGUGUGGUUCUAAAAACUUGUUUGAGUCUGGUUUCGUUAUUCUCGGGCUGGAUGUUGCCCAAGGUAAAGCGGUCCAAGAUUCUUACAAAUAGUCUGCAAAACUAGUUUAUUGGCGGUACUACAAACUAGGCUAUCGGUUGUGUUGAGGGGCUUUUACGAGCGCAUGUUGGAUUCAGCAGCUGCAAAACGGGAAGUGUGUUAAUGAACGCAAAGCAGACUUCGGGCCGCCUUUUCGUGUCACACUCACUACUAAUUUGAUUAUAUAGCAGGUAUCCUAGGAAUCCGUUUGCUGCGGAAUAACCACUUGUUUUGUUUGGGGAGGGGCACAAAAAAAUAAGCCUGUUUUUUUUUUAUUGAUAACCAAAUCAAUAAACGUGCCAUAUAUAAACCUUAACACAGGUAACUUUGCUUAAAAUAGAAACACGCCUGUCUAAACUGCUUCCAGUAUUCAAAUGAAGUGUUGACGUCAGUAUCCAGAGCUGUUAAGAUGCCGAAAACUUACAAUCGCUCUUAAAGAUCAGAUCAACGAGUUUGGCAAGGACGAAUUUCACGUCGAUGGAGAUGAUUAUCUGCAGGGACUCGCUUGGCUCGUCUGUCAUGAAGCAGACUGUUCUCAAUGGAUUUCAAUUAGAAGGCUGAAGCACACCUUGCUGGGUGACUGCAGCGACUUCUAUUGCAGCCUCAGUCCCAGCUCAAGCUGGCAGCCAUGGACCCAGCUGACAUGUGGAUCUUGGGAGUGCUCGGACUGGCUCGUCUGAAGGGUGCAGUAGCAAGCAACUACCUGUAGAUGGCACUAAAACAUCUGAGCCAGCAGAGGUGCAGUAGCAAGCCACUACCUGUAGAUGGCACCAAAACAUUGUGUAUUUGAUCAAGCAGAGGUCUGAAUUCUUGACACCUGUCUUGCAGAACAGUGUUACCCUGAAAAGUGCCAAUGAGGAGACACUGACGCUAAAAACGGGAGCCUGUAGUGGAUACCCUAGAACUCUGGAGUGGAUGUUUCACUGGAAGUGUGACUUCCCAGCAGGUUGGGAUUUGGUAUCCUGAAGGAGGCUGUGUGGUCCAGUGGUUAAAAGUGCUUGUAACCAGGAGGUCCCGGUUCAAAUCCCACCUCAGCCACUUACUCAUUGUGUGACCCUGAGCAAGUCGCUUAACCUCCUUUUGCUCCGUCUUUUGGGUGAGACGUAAUUGCAAGCGACUCUGCAGCUGAUGCAUAGUUCACACACCCUAGUCUCUAAGUCGCCUUGGAUAAAGGCGUCUGCUAAAUAAACAAAUAAUAAUAAUAAAAGGAACGUCUGUCCUUGCCAUGGAAAUGCUGGUGUCAUGUUACAAGUCAAACUGGUGUUUCAUGGACUUCAUAGCUUCCAGUAUGGAAGUCUGACAUCAGGCUUUCCAUGCUGUCAUUCACUUGUAAUGACCCAUUCCCAUGUAAACUUCUUUGUAAAAUA